rnacentral:rRNA from 1 species
AUUGAACGCUGGCGGCAUGCUUUACACAUGCAAGUCGAACGGCAGCGCGGGCUUCGGCCUGGCGGCGAGUGGCGAACGGGUGAGUAAUGCAUCGGAACGUGCCCAGUAGUGGGGGAUAGCCCGGCGAAAGCCGGAUUAAUACCGCAUACGACCUGAGGGUGAAAGCGGGGGACCGAAAGGCCUCGCGCUAUUGGAGCGGCCGAUGUCGGAUUAGCUAGUUGGUGGGGUAAAGGCUUACCAAGGCGACGAUCCGUAGCUGGUCUGAGAGGACGACCAGCCACACUGGGACUGAGACACGGCCCAGACUCCUGCGGGAGGCGGCAGUGGGGAAUUUUGGACAAUGGGGGCAACCCUGAUCCAGCCAUGCCGCGUGCGGGAAGAAGGCCUUCGGGUUGUAAACCGCUUUUGUUCGGGAAGAAAUCCUCUGGGCUAAUACCCCGGGGGGAUGACGGUACCGGAAGAAUAAGCACCGGCUAACUACGUG